UCCCUGGCAGUUCAGUGGUUAGGAUUCCAUGCUUUCACUGUGAGGGCCCAGGUUCAAUCCCUGGUCAGGGAA
rnacentral:tRNA from 1 species